rnacentral:lncRNA from 1 species
UUUUUUUGUUUAUUGUAGAAUCAUUAAAGAUAAUAAAUGUAAAAGAUCCCGUUCCUAGUUGGAUGGAGUCCGAGAUGGAUAAAUAUUUAGAUCGAGAAAACCUAUCUAAUACCUCGGAACAGCGAUCAAAGAAAAAAUUCCAUUGUCAACCUUUCAACGGUAAUGGAACAAUAUUCUAAUUUGAGAGUCUAAAUAUAUAAUUUAAGAGAAAAAAAAAGAAGUAAAGAAAUGAUUUUUCCCCCAAAUGAUUUAAAUUAAAUGAUUCUAUUUAUUAAAGAAAUAAAAUCUUUUUGAAGAUCAAAUUUUAAAGAUUUUUUUUUUUUUUGCAAUAUCUUUUUUUUCCCAGAAAAACAGAGGGAUCCGUGGUCAAAGUAUGAAUGGCAAGGUUCACUACAUCGCUGCAUAUCAAAACAAAUCUGGUGUGGCAAUGGAAUAUUAGGAAACGUCAUAAGUAGAGAACGUGGUUUAUUUCAUAAGAAUAAUUGGAGUUUCAUCAAGAUUUUAUAUCAGUUAAUUUUUCCAAAUACAAGUCCUCGCUAUUUUGUGCAUGAAAGAGUAUGGGAAUUUAAAUUCCACCCGGAGUGUAGAAAUGGAUGUUAAAUGAUAGUUAUUUUUAUAUUAAAUAAUGUGUCAUAAUGUU